rnacentral:antisense_RNA from 1 species
CUUUGCUUCCACUUAUAAGUGAGAACAUACAGUGUUUGAUUUUUCAUUCCUGAGUUACUUCACCUAGAAUAAUGGCCUCCAGCUCCGUCCAAGUUGCUGCAGAAGACAUUAUUUCAUUCCUUUAUUGGCUGAGUAGUAUUCCAUGUCCAGUGAUUCAAGUUUGACACACCACACCACAGUGGAUGUGCCUUGUCAUGACACAACUUCUCAGCAGCACUAGAAGAUACAUCCGAAGUCCUGUGAGCAAGGACACAGCGAGAAGAUGGCUGUCUACAAGCCAGGGAGAGAGUCCUCACCAGAACCAAACCCUGCUGGACUUUGAUCUUGGACUUCCCAGCCUCUAAAACUGUGAAGACAUAAAUUUCUGUUGUUUAACCCACACAGGUAUGUGGUAUCUGUUUAUUAUGGCAGCCCAGUAAGACUAAGACAGGCCAUCACAAGACGUGAACGUUUUGGACCUUCUCUUGGGCCCUAGUAAACAGAAAUCAGGUACACAAAAGGAGUAAGCAUAUAUUUUCCUUUAUUUUUAUUUUUAAUGUGUAAGCCUUAGGUUUUUAUUUAUUUAUUUGCCAAAGACAAUCACAUUGUAUAUGUACAAUGUAAUUAUAUUGUUGAUGAGAACUUAUUUAAAAUUUUUUAAAAAUUCUAAUUGAUUUCUAGAUGUUCAAAUGACAAGAUAGCAUUUAUAUACCAUAAGAACAUAAAAUAAUUCAAAAAAGUAAAUUUAUAAAACAAUAUGUAUUAUAUUGAGAGAAAGAGAGAGAGAGUAUUUGAAGAAUAUAUACAAAUACAAUGUGAUAAUGUGAUGUCUUUGUGAGAAUGCUAUAUGUAAUUUUCUUUGUUUUUGUUUAUAUGAAUUUUUAAUAUUUUUACCUUUGAAAUAUAUAAAAGAGAGAAUAAAAGUCAUUGACAAAAUCAAAAAUAACUCUAUUUUCAUAGGUGAGUAAGCAUACAUCUUUAACAGAACAGCAAAGAGUUGAUGAAUGUUCAGAGAUAUUAUAUAAGUAACAGAUAAGAAGUGUCCUGAUCUAUGGUAUUCAUUCUCAGUUGCAAAUAUAUAUGCAAAAAACCCCACA